rnacentral:rRNA from 1 species
UACGUAGGUGGCGAGCGUUGUCCGGAUUUACUGGGCGUAAAGGGCGUGCAGGCGGUUUGUUAAGUGCAGGGUGAAAGCUUCCGGCUCAACUGGGAGAGGUCCUUGCAUACUGGCGAACUCGAGGGAGGCAGAGGAAAGUGGAAUUCCCGGUGUAGUGGUGAUAUGCGUAGAUAUCAGGAGGAAUACCGAUGGCGAAGGCAGGUCUCUGGGCUAGAACUGACGCUCAUGCACGAAAGCGUGGGGAGCAAACAGG